GGCCCUGCAGGACGGAGCCGACCACGACGCCGUUUCGCCGCGCCGUGCCGCGACGCCGCGCGACGACGACGCGAUCCCCGCGAGGAUGUGUUGUUGUGUGACAAGUGAAAAGUUGUGUUUGUGAAAGUGCCCUUUGACGGGAUCCAGUGCAGAGCAGAGUCACUCGGGUGCUUCCAGCGCCGCGCUUUGGACCCGAAACGACAAAGCGAGAUUUCAUUGUUAUUGUGAAAAAUCGGGAAACCAUUAGUUGGGCCCGGCUGACGUGUGCGUGUGUGUGUACUCACUACAAGUUUGCGAGUGUGUAAGUGCGCCCAGGAUACCCACCCCGUGUGCCCCCGCUGCAUUCGGGCACCCGGCGGCUUCCUCCCGCCACGCCGUGGCACGCCGCCGUCGGAUUUUUUCGGAGCCAUGCAACAGUUCCUCACGCCGCGCGCUAGCCGCGCUAGCGCCUCGGGCCGCAGCUAGCUAGCCGCCGCUCCAGCUCCAACUAGAGCCUGAACCUUGUUCGUCAGGUACUGCCGAAGUACUGUCUGCGAUCUCCGUCUGGACUAGUUUGGGCGCCGAGCGCUCGCAACCGUCAAGCUGGCCGCCAGCGCCACUCUCCCCGCCAUGAACCCCCACGGCCCCCACGGGGGGCACGGGCCCCACUCGCAUGGGCCGCACUCCCACGGGCCGCACCACUACCAGCCGUACCCGGACCUGUCCAGCCCCAGCCCCGUCCCGCACUCGCCCGCCAGCCACGGCGCCGACACGUCCCCCUUCAACGGCCACCCCGGCUCGGG